UACGUAGGGUGCAAGCGUUGUCCGGAAUUACUGGGCGUAAAGCGCACGUAGGCGGCUUUCUAAGUCGGGGGUGAAAUCCUGGAGCUCAACUCCAGAACUGCCUUCGAUACUGGAGAGCUCGAGUCCGGGAGAGGUGAGUGGAACUGCGAGUGUAGAGGUGAGAUUCGUAGAUAUUCGCAAGAACACCAGUGGCGAAGGCGGCUCACUGGCCCGGUACUGACGCUGAGGUGCGAAAGCGUGGGGAGCAAACAGG
rnacentral:rRNA from 1 species